UAUCUCUCCUUCAAGACUAACUGAGCUGGACAUAGCAGUGCACACCUGUCACCCCGGCACUUAGGAGGCUGAGGCAGGAGGAU
rnacentral:miRNA from 1 species